UCCCUAGUGGCUCAGUGGUAAAGAAUCUGCCUGCCAAUGCAGGAGAUGCAGGUUCAAUCCCUGGAUGGGGAA
rnacentral:tRNA from 1 species